UACGGAGGGAGCUAGCGUUGUUCGGAAUUACUGGGCGUAAAGCGCACGUAGGCGGUCUUUUAAGUCGGGGGUGAAAUCCUGGAGCUCAACUCCAGAACUGCCUUCGAUACUGGAAGACUUGAGUCCGGGAGAGGUGAGUGGAACUGCGAGUGUAGAGGUGAAAUUCGUAGAUAUUCGCAAGAACACCAGUGGCGAAGGCGGCUCACUGGCCCGGUACGGACGCUGAGGUGCGAAAGCGUGGGGAGCAAACAGG
rnacentral:rRNA from 1 species